rnacentral:lncRNA from 1 species
GUGAUCCGUUUUGAAGAAUUUGGUAAAAUGUUGGUAAUUUGCAUGGUGAGAUGAGCAUACGUUUUAAAGAAAGAUGAAUUGUGUCUGACAGAAUUUAGCGGUGGUAGCACUGCAAAGAUUGCUCAGCUUGAGUAAUCAUUUCAGACUUUCUUCAAGGUUGGUUCUAAAGCUCUUUUUUUUUUUUUUUCAUUGUUCCCAAGGAGUUUUGGAUCAAGCUCUUAUUGAAAAGUGGCUGAAAACAAGAGUUCUGGGAUAGCAGAGAACUUCAGCAGAGCUUUGAUUUUUGCCUGUUUGAUUCCAACUCAGUUGUCUCUUCCGGAUCCUGAAUUUUGAAAAGAUGAUUGCAGAUAAAAGCUCUUCAAGACACAUGAAUUGUGCUUGCAGUGUCUAUGAACAUCAGAAGAACAUCUGUUCCAGACUCGAAUUAAUGGCAAGGACUGUGUAGAUGGCUGCCAACAAGCUUCAAUCAUGCACAGAGGAAAACAGCAAGGACUAGGCUGAGUGGAUUCAGAAGAGUACUGUCUCACAUCAGAUGAAGACAGAAUCAUGUGAAAGUCUGUCUCUACAUCAUGCAGCAUAUAUCCCUGUGCAUGUGCAAACACACAGACACGCACACAUACACAUCUAUCUGUCUAUAUAUAAUCUUCAGCGGAAGCUCAUGCAUAGGGGAAAUUCUGGGAAUAAUUAAGAAAAGGAUACUGCAUCCUCCAGCAGACGGAAUACAUCUUUUUCAUUUAAAGCAUUUUUUUUUCUUUACCACCAACUUGCUGCAAUUAGGAGGUUGUUGGAGAGAUAUCAAUUGA